AGUGAACGCUGGCGGUAGGCCUAACACAUGCAAGUCGAACGGCAGCACAGUAAUAGCUUGCUCUUACGGGUGGCGAGUGGCGGACGGGUGAGGAAUACAUCGGAAUCUACUUUUUCGUGGGGGAUAACGUAGGGAAACUUACGCUAAUACCGCAUACGACCUACGGUGGAAAGCAGUGGAUCUUCGGACCUUGCGCGGUUGAAUGAGCCGAUGUCGGAUUAGCUAGUUGGCGGGUUAAAGGCCCACCAAGGCGACGAUCGGUAGCUGGUGUGAGAGAAUGAUAGGCCACAUUGGAAGGGAGCCACCGACAAGAGUACUAAGGGACGGCGCAGUCGGGAAUAUUAGACAACAGGCGCGAACAUGGUACAGCCAGAGCGCGUGGGUGAAGAAGGCGUUCGGGUUGUAAAGACCUUUUGUUGGGAAAGAAAAGCAGCAGGCUAAUACCCAGCUGUUCUGACGGUAACCAAAGAAUAAGCACCGGCUAACUACGUG
rnacentral:rRNA from 1 species